rnacentral:lncRNA from 1 species
UUUCUCUACCUAUGCCUGUUUGCAUUAAGAAUUGGCAAGUUGAGGGGACAAGAUGGCAGAAGAGUAGGGGGACACACUUGCCCUCUCCCACAAAUACAACAAAAAAAAACACAUCUACAGGAUAAAUGACUCACACAGAACAGCAACCAAUCGCUGGCAAAAGAACCGAAACUCCAAUAAAGGCAAGAAGUUCGUGACAUUACUGGGCAGAACAGGAGAAAAGAGGAGAGUGAGAGAAGGUGAAUCCGAGCUGGAAGGGCGCUCCCGAAAGGGAACUGAGGAGGAGAAAGGGAUUCUGCACCCGGGAAAGUCACCUACUCGGGGAAAGAUCAAACGAACUGGAGGAAUCUCAAGAUGCAGAGAAGAGUGUAGCAGUAAGUUGGAGUUCUGAAAAGCGGAUCGAGAACCAAAUGGACCAUCUGAACUACAGGCACAGUCACCAAAAAUUGAGAUGCCUGGGUGGGGGCUGGGCACCGAGACCUCGGCUCCGGAGGUUAGUCCCCGGGAAAGGGCUGGGGGGGAGGGGUGGAGCGGAGACUGCUUGGGAGGUCUAGAAACCGGUCUGUCAAGUUUGACGGGGCAGAGACUAACUGGGAGACUAGAAAGCAAAGCUGUUGCAGAGGAAGGGAGCAAUAUUCUAGGGGCAGGGAAGUGGAAAGCCACAUCAGAGGGAACCUGGGAGAAGAGCCUGGUCUGCACCCGUGCUGGGGAGGGGAGAAAGAAGGGGUGGGUCCCCAUAGAAUACUCCCCACGCCACAGCAAGCUUACCGGCCCGCUAGCUAUCAGAAAGCUGUGCUUCCCAGUGCAUCCCUUCCCCCCACCCCCACCACCCCCCACGCACUCACCGGACCUGGGGCUGCCUGCCAUCCAGGAGGGCUGGCCUCAACAAUUGCCUGAAGCCUACCACUGUAGGGGCUGUCCCUGCACAGGCCUGCUUGCCCUUUGCAGGGGAUACACCUCCGUGGAGCAGCACCAAACACCACCAACCCCCGAGAAAAGGCCUGCAGCCCAGAAAAGCUAGAACAAGCCUGGCCAGGCCUUGAAAAGAUCUGCCUAAUUCUCGGACAGUCUUUCCGAGUCGGCCUGCCCUGAAGAAGAGCCUCGUGGGUUUGCAGUGGCACAGCUAGCCGCUCCAGCUCUCGGGAGGAGCCACACUCCCGUGGAACAAAGGCACAGGACUGCCAGCUCCUGGCAGGACCCCCCACACCCCAGAAAAGCUACAACAAGCCUGGCUGGGCUGUGAAAAGAUCUGCCUAAUUCUGGGACAGUCUUUCCAAGUCGGGCUGCCCUGGGGAGGAGCCUCGUUGGUUUACAGCGGCCCAGCUAGCUGCCCCAGCUCUCGGGGGGAGCCAAACUCUCACAGAACAGCUGCAUAGGACUGCCAGCUCCAGGCAGGGCCCCCCACACCCAAGAAAAGCUACAACAAGCCUGGCCGGGCUAUGAAAAGAUCGACCUAAUUCUCGGACAGUCUUUCUGAGUCAGGCUGCCCUGGAGAAGAGCCUCUUGGGUUUUCAGUGGCCCAGCUAGCUUCUAUACCCUCGGGGGGAGCCACACUCUUGUGGAACAGCUGCAAAGGAUUGCCAGCUCUCUGCAGGAUCCCCUGUAGCCCAGAAAAGCUACAACAAGCCUUGCUGGGCCGUGAAAAGAUCUGCCUACAUUCUCAGAUAGUCCUUCCAAGUUGUGCUGCCCUAGGGAAGAGCCUCUUGGGUUGUCUGUGACCCAGAUAGCUGCUCCAGCCCUCGGGGGGUGCUGAACUCCUGAGGAACAGCUGCCCAACACUGCCAACCCCCUGCAAGAACCCCACAGCCUAAAAACACCAGAGCAAGCUCUGCCUGACUGAGUGAAAUCUGCUACCAUCGUGGUGUGGGUCUCCCAGUCCUGUCUGCCCUCAGGAAGUCCUCCUUUGCUUCAAAGAGACCCUAUUAGCACGAUCAACACUCCAGAAAAGCCACACUGCCUCAAAAAAGACUGACCAACAACACCAGCCCUCAGGAAACAUUCCACGGCAGUGACAAGGCAAACACUGCCCAGUCACAGAGAGUAUAACUCCCCCAGGAGAAAGAAAACAACAAGCAAGAUGAAGAAGCUGAGAAACCACCCCCAGUCAAACCAACAGGAGAACUCACCUAAAACCGUCAACAAUGAAACAGAUCUCUGCAGUCAGACAGACCUGGAGUUCAAAAGAGAAAUAGUGAAAAUACUGAAGGAAUUAAGAGAAGAUAUGAACGGUAAUGCAGAUACCCUCAGAAAGGAACUAGAAAAUAUAAGGAGGAGCCAAGAAAAAUUAGAACAUUCAGUUGCAGAGAUACAAACUGAACUAAGGGCAGUAAAAACCAGAAUGAAUAAUGCAGAAGAACGAAUCAGUGAUAUGGAAGAUAGAAUAAUGGAAAUCACCCAAUCAGGUCAGCAGACAUAAAACCAAAUCAAAAACCAGGAAAGCAAUAUAAGAGACCUAUGGGAUAAUAGAAAGUGGGCCAAUCUAGGCAUAAUAGGAAUUCCAGAAGGAGUAGAAAAAGAUAAGGGAAUGGAAAAUAUAUUUGAAGAAAUUAUCACUGGAAACUUCCCAAAUCUAAAGGAUACUGAGUUCAAGAUACAGGAAGCACAGAGGGCCCCAAACAAAUUGAACCCAAAUAGACCCACACCAAGACACAUAAUAAUAAUAAUGGCAAAAGUCAGUGAUAAAGAGAGGAUCCUAAAGGCAGCAAGAGAAAAGCAGCAUGUUACCUACAAGGGAACCCCCAUAAGGUUAUCUGCUUAUUUCUCUACAGAAACUCUACAGGCCAGCAGGGAAUGGCAAGAGAUAUUUAAAGUGCUAAAAGGAAAAAAUAUGCAACCUAGAAUACUCUAUCCAGCAAGAAUAUCAUUUAAAAUAGAGGGGGAAAUAAAAUUUUUUUCCAACAAACAAAAUCUUAAAGAGUACAGCAACACAAAGCCCAGGCUAAAAGAAAUACUGAAAGGACUUCUCUAAACCAAAAAGAAAGGAAGGAAAGGGAAGAAAAAAGAAAAAAAAAAAGAAGAGGAAGAACUAGGACUGAGGAAACUGCAGUCAGAGAGCAGUCACUCAAAUAAGCCAGCAUACAGAUUUAAUCAUGAACAUGCUUCAAACAAAAUAAAAUUAAAAAUAAAAAAGUGUCAUCAAAUCAUAACAUGUGGGCAAGGGAUGUUAGGAAAUAAAUAGACCCUUUUUGUUUGUUUGUUUGUAUGUUUCUCUUCUUAAUUUUAAUAUAGUAAUCAAGUGUUUGAACCUACAGGACCAUCAGGCUAAAACACACAAUCAUAGGAAGGUGUUAACAUACUUAAAAAACAGGGCAACCACAAGCCAAAACCAAAUAUUGCAUU